CCUACUGGGGUUGAAUUUGCUGUGGAGUUGCAUGAUUUUCUUGUCGAAGAUCUGGUGAAGCUAUAUCCUGCAAUUGAAGAAAACUCUCAACUCCUACUUGCGCUCCGCCUCUUCCUCCUUUUCAUCGCUCAAUAGGAGGCAGCUCAUCUGGCCGUGCAGCAGACCACGUCCUGAGCGGGUCGGUGACGGCGGUUGCAGCUGGUGCACGAUGGCGAUUCCAACGACAACAGGAAUCUGCAACUUGUUAGACUUCUUUGCAACCCCAACAAGGCCCUCAUCUGCUUUGUCUACAUAUAUGCAUGAUUUCUAUGAUUGGAAUCAGAUAGCACUAACUAUGUGUCAGACUGCUAAUAUUUAUUUGCUUGAUGAUCCUUGAAGCGCACUCUACGCUCAUACAUGAUCCCACAUAUUCUAGAUGCUUUCUUGAGGCUUUGGCUAAAAAUCUGUGGUGUACGUCACUCAUCAGGUAACUCUGACGGGCUAAUGCCUUAAGCUGGGACAUACAACAAAAUACUUAUUUUAUGGGAGGAGUUUAUGGAACUGGGUAGUGCUCAUCAGGAUGCUCUUGCAGCAAUUGACACAAUCGAUGUGGCUAAUGGAGCCAGUUCCUAUCUUUAGACAGUCACAUCCACGUUCGUACUUUUAGAAUAGUUGUUGCAACGGGGAAGAGCAUUUCUGCAAUAGCAAGAUAUCAGGACCCAAUGGGCAUAGGCCGAACCAACCACCAUCACUAUUGCUUCAGGAUUAGAUAGACAACUUCCACUCAUGAGCCUGUCGAGUCAAGUUUCAGACUGAUCAUGUAUCCCCUUGAUAUUCACUGGAUGGAAUCCCCUGUUUUACUCAAACUGAACCUUCUACAAACAUCGGAAAAGCAACAGUAGUAAAGAUGGACAGAAAUUCCAAAAAUAAGAGGUUGGAUGGAGCAUCGAGGAUUUCAGGCUUGGGGUGGCCACAUGUUGCAGGAUAGCAGGAAGAGUUGGAUGUGUUCUGC